AGACGCACACUGGCAGGAACAACCGGAGGGACUUCCCUGACCGACCCCGCGUUUGCUCAGCUUUGAAUUCCCGCUCUGUAGAUCUGUCGCAAUUUAACCAGAAGUCACCCUGAAGACGGUACCAAAAUCUCUGGAACUGGAGUUACAGAUGUUUAUAAGCCACCAUGUGAGUGCUGGGAAUCAAACCUGAUAAUCCGGAAACCUAUCCAGUUCUAUACAUCCAGAGCUGGAUUCAUCACCUUCUUUACCUGCGUGGUAUCUGACUCUGUAUCGGGUAGGUUUGACAUUCCCCCAACCCAGAUAUUAGUCACCCCCACACGUACUGCCAGGUCUUCUCUGUCAGAAACCAUACUGACUAUCACUGUGUUGGUUCAGAUCCUAGCUC
ensembl:processed_transcript A930005H10Rik RIKEN cDNA A930005H10 gene